rnacentral:rRNA from 1 species
AGUGAACGCUGGCGGUAGGCCUAACACAUGCAAGUCGAACGGCAGCACAGUAAGAGCUUGCUCUUACGGGUGGCGAGUGGCGGACGGGUGAGGAAUACAUCGGAAUCUACUUUUUCGUGGGGGAUAACGUAGGGAAACUUACGCUAAUACCGCAUACGACCUACGGGUGAAAGCAGGGGAUCUUCGGACCUUGCGCGAUUGAAUGAGCCGAUGUCGGAUUAGCUAGUUGGCGGGGUAAAGGCCCACCAAGGCGACGAUCCGUAGCUGGUCUGAGAGGAUGAUCAGCCACACUGGAACUGAGACACGGUCCAGACUCCUACGGGAGGCAGCAGUGGGGAAUAUUGGACAAUGGGCGCAAGCCUGAUCCAGCCAUACCACGUGGGUGAAGAAGGCCUUCGGGUUGUAAAGCCAUUUUGUUGGGAAAGAAAAGCAGCAGGUUAAUACCCCGCUGUUCUGACGGUACCCAAAGAAUAAGCACCGGCUAACUUCGUG